rnacentral:rRNA from 1 species
AACGAACGCUGGCGGCAUGCCUAACACAUGCAAGUCGAACGAGACCUUCGGGUCUAGUGGCGCACGGGUGCGUAACGCGUGGGAACCUGCCCUUAGGUUCGGAAUAACUCCCCGAAAGGGGUGCUAAUACCGGAUAAUGUCUUCGGACCAAAGAUUUAUCGCCUUUGGAUGGGCCCGCGUUGGAUUAGCUAGUUGGUAGGGUAAAAGCCUACCAAGGCGACGAUCCAUAGCUGGUCUGAGAGGAUGAUCAGCCACACUGGGACUGAGACACGGCCCAGACCCCUACGGGAGGGAGCAGUGGGGAAUAUGGGACAAGGGGCGAAAGCCUAACCCAGCAAGGCCGGGGGAGUGAUGAAGGCCUUAGGGUUGUAAAGCUCUUUUCCCCGGGAGGAUAAGGACAGUACCGGGAAAAAAAGCCCCGGCUAACCCCGU